GGAAGGAUCAUUACUGAAUUGUCAAACGGGCUGUUGCUGGUCCUCGAAUGGGGACAUGUGCACGCUCUGUUUACACAUCCACUCACACCUGUGCACCCUCUGUAGUUUUACGGUCUGGGGGACCCUGUCUUCCUUCCGUAGUUCUACGUCUUUACACACACACUGUAAUAAAGUCUUAUGGAAUGUAUGCCGCGUCUAACGCAACACAAUACAACUUUCAGCAACGGAUCUCUUGGCUCUCGCAUCGAUGAAGAACGCAGCGAAAUGCGAUAAGUAAUGUGAAUUGCAGAAUUCAGUGAAUCAUCGAAUCUUUGAACGCACCUUGCGCCCCUUGGAUAUUCCGAGGGGCAUGCCUGUUUGAGUAUCAUGAACACCUCAACUCUCAUGGUUUGCCAUGACGAGCUUGGACCUUGGGGGUUUUGCUGGCCUGUGGUCGGCUCCUCUCAAAUGAAUCAGCCUCCCAGUGUUUGGUGGCAUCACGAGUGUGAUAACUAUCUACGCUCGCGGUUGCCCACCAGGUAACCUUUGGUGACAAAGGUUCGCUGGAGCUCACAGAUGUCUCUCCUUAGCGAGGACAGCUUUUUAACGUUCGAUCUCAAAUCAGGUAGGACUACCCGCUGAACUUAAGCAUAUCAAUAAGCGGAGGAA
rnacentral:sRNA from 1 species